CCUCAGGGCCUCUAAGUUUCCUUACAGCCUCCAGGAGCUUGCCAGUGAGGUUAACAGCAAGAGAGCCUCUUUUUCUCUUGAUUAUUUGCUGUGCUUUCUCAACAAACAGAAGUGGAUUAGUUUCUGCAGCCUUAGUUAAUUCAGGCAUUGAAACAUGCAGGAAUCCAAAUUGGUUCCCCCAUGGUGACUCUGCAUUAGGCUUCACCAUUUCCUUUACCGAUUUGUAGCUACCAAUGAUCCUCGUAUUGAGCAACACCAAUGCUGUAGAAUGUGCAUUGGUUGAGUUAUUGCUAACUGCUAGCAUGUACAAUCGAAUCCCAUAGAAGAUUAUCCCAGUAAUUACAUCAUUUAUCGUCUGCAAAGAGCAAAAAUAAACAAUGAAAAUAUUAGAUUCCAUGGAUAAUUAUCAUGUUCAUUCAAAAUUUGACUAAUACAGUUGCUUUUUUACCCCAAGAACUCUUAAUCUCCUGUGUUAUAAUUACCAUGUUCAUUCAAAAGGAAAAACUUAGCAUGGACAUCAUCAACAAUGCUGUAGAAUGUGCAUCGGUUGAGUUAUUGCUAACUUAACCUGUGUGUUAUAAUGCAGUUAAACAGGCACUCGACCAAUGGACUAAUUAAUAGCCCAAUACUGGUAAUGAUAGUUGUGGCACUGGAGUUGUACCAUGAGAUUUAAGUUUGAGUUUCAGUAUAAGCCAAUUAUUAAAAAAGAAAAAACUCGAAUUAUAUGUUUGGAAUCUUCAGAAAAUUAAGAUUUAUGGUUAAUAGGAAAAAAAAAAUUUUGAUAGGGACUAGGGACCCACUUCAUCAAUAAAACCAACUACACAACAAUGAUAAGUGGUAGUUCUAUUUAUUAAGGGAGAAGCUUUAAUCUGAUACACUAAAACCUCUAGUCAGAAGUACACAAGUGCUGAUAAAGAUGUUUGGCUCAAAUUAUCUCCAAUGUAUUAUACUAAUCAAUCUUGUUUGAUGUAGUUUUCACGUAAUUAACUUAAUUGAAAACCUUAAGCAAUAAGAUGUAUGAAUAGUUAAAAUUUGAAGUUCUCAAUUUCUAGAAUGAAAAUGUCUAUGGAUGUAAUGAUCCAGUCUAACAUUAAUUCAAAAGAAACAACCCAGUUCAUAUGUAAGUAAAAAGAAAAGGAUUAAUUAACUUACCACUCCAAGCCUGGUCUUGAUUUGUUUGAUUUGAUCAAGAGAGAAUGUCAUUGUUGAAAUGGUAAUUGGCUUAAACUCAACCCCAUCAUCCCCAGAUCUUACAGGGGACUGAACAUCUUCAACCACACUGCUCUUAAGAAGGCUCCAUCCGAAAUCAGACAUGGUAUUAAAGAUUGAGCUAAAAGUUUCAGACACCGUACUCUUCUUACUCUUGAAUAUUUCAGGUUUGGAGCGUAGUUGAAGAGGAGGAAAUGUCAAGGGAAUAGAAGGGUUUUCUACCCUUUGGAGACAAGAAAGAAGAGCUCCCAUAAGAGAAAAUCCAUCUCCAAGAGCAUGGUGAAGCUUGAAAAUGAGAUUGCCAGCUGCAUUGCUUGUAGGGUAUUUUAUGAUAUGCAUUUCCCAUAAGGGUUGAGUUUGAGGAAGAGGUUCCAAAGCUAUUUUUGAUAAAUAGCCAUUGAAGUAAUUUUCAUAAGACUUUGGUGAUAAUCCAGCAGGGAAAGUGGGGACAUUUACAUGGUUUUUUAGGUUAACAUCAACUCUCUUCCAUUGUUUUUCACCUUUUCUAUCACUGAUCAUGAUGGAGGAGAAUCGAGGGUUGAUGGGGAGGAAAACAUCUUGAAGCAAAGACAUGGUAGGCGAGUCAUCAAUCGGAACUUCUGAUUCUAAAACACCAAGAACACAAAUUGAAAGCACUGAGCUAUUGAAGUAUUGCCCUGUUGGACUCACAGGUUCUGCCAUUCCUUCUUCUUCUUGCUUCGAGCGCUCCAUCGAUAUGUUUUCUUGAGUUUCACUUCCCAUAGACUUUGGCUUCAACUCUUGUAAACUUGAAAGCUAUUUUAUAUAGCUGGAGAAGAAUGCUCAUGCAAGUGACACAACAAAUAAAGGUUAC
rnacentral:misc_RNA from 1 species